rnacentral:miRNA from 1 species
UACUGGCCCGCCAAGUCCUGAU